CUGGGGCUCUGGUCCAGCCUUUGAGGCCCAUUGCUGUCCUGUCAGCCAUCUCAUUCGUCUGUGAGCACGGCAGGGAGUGGCACAGCCUCCUUGGUUCUGCCAACCCUGCCAGGAAGGGACAUCAGCAAGGAACAAUAACAUUUUCAUCAUCACCAAGCUUUAGUGAAGAGAACAGCCUGAAAAACAGAAAGCUCUGCAAUGAUUCGGCAGUGUGUGCUGGAGAGACAGUGCCUGAGAGCAUCAUAAACACGAGGGGAGAGGCGCUCCAUAAAUAUGCGGAGGCAAGGUCUUGCUCUGUCACCCAGGCUGGAGUGCAGUGGCACCAUCAUAGCUCACUGCAGCCUUGAUCUCCUGGGCUCAAGCAAUCCUCCCACUUCAGCCUCCCAAGCAGCUGGGACUACAGGUUCUCAGGUGAAGCGCCAAGUAUGUCACUGAAAGCCCAGUGGAGUUAAGUGUGCAAAGUCAGUCUGAACAUAUGCUGUAAUGGAUUUGACCUCGAAUAGCACUACAAAGAGAAAUUGCAGAUAACCAUCUGAACUGACUUCUGAAGCUUGUAGUUCUGGCUCCUGAGAUACAGAGAGAAAAGUGAGACCAAACAGGUGGGAGCAAACAACUCAGAGAGACCAGAAUGAAUACGAGUCUAACUUUAAAAGUAAAUAAAAUUAAAUAAAAAUGAUUUAUUCUAUA
rnacentral:lncRNA from 1 species